CACCACAACAGGUGGAGCCUGCGGUUUAAUCGGACUCAACGCCGGGAAAACUCACCAGAUAAGACAGCUGAAUGAUAGUCGGGCUGAAGACUCUACUUGACUAGCUGAGAGGAGGUGCAUGGCCGUCGUCAGUUCGUACUGUGAAGCAUCCUGUUAAGUCAGGCAACGAGCGAGACCCACGCCAACAGUUGCCAGCUCGUCCUCCGGGAUGGUGGGGACACUGUUGGGACCGCCUCUGCUAAAGAGGAGGAAGGAAUGGGCAACGGUAGGUCAGCAUGCCCCGAAUUAUCUGGGCUACACGCGGGCUACAAUGGGUGGGACAAUGGGUAUCGACACCGAAAGGUGAAGGCAAUCUCCUAAACCCACCCGUAGUUCGGAUUGUGGGCUGCAACUCGCCCACAUGAAGCUGGAAUCUGUAGUAAUCGUGUCUCAAAAUGGCACGGUGAAUAUGUCCCUGCUCCUU
rnacentral:rRNA from 1 species